CAUACGGGUACAAGCUGUUGGGGGGAAAGGCCUGUAUGAAAGUCAAAGGUAUUACUCUGAACGUAGCAAACUGUGAAAAGAUCAACUUUGACAGUUUGAAAGAUCUAGUCCUGGACCAUAGCACAUGCCUGUGAAAA